GGAAAACACACUGAGUCGUAACAGUGACAUCAAAAUACUUUUGAAGUUGACUGAAAAUGUGGUUGCUUUUGUUUGAGAAUGGCAAAUUAAAGAAUUGGAUAUUGGGUUCUUAUCUCAGAAGAAACAAAGGAGGAGACCCUGAAAAACUGAACAUGAAGAGGAAGAAGUGGAGUUAUGCAACUCUUCAUAAGAAAAUCUCCAUCUGUUUGGAGAAGUACUGCGUCCUUCCGGAUUAUCUUCUACACUAUGCCUUAUUGUUAUCUGGCUGGUUCCACCACCGGUCAGAAGAAUGAAAAUUGCAGAUACCUAUUCUGUGUGUUUCUCUCCAGAAUGGUGGAUGUUAGAGACCCUACUAAGGAUUUGUGGACUCACUAACGUAGUCUCUAAAAGUGUCUUCCAGAGUCCUCACGAGUAUCAGAGAAGGCAUAAUCUGUACACGUGGCUUCAUUUAAAAUGAAAAUAUCAAGCAGUGUCAUUUUCACAAGUAUCCCCACACUGUCUGAGGCUGAAAAGAAGAGUGUAGCUAUGCACACUGCAGUGAGAAGAAAAUUUCAGCUCAAUUGGAGGAUGUAAAGAUUGAAAUACCACUGCUCCUAGUUCUGAUGCAAAAUUGAAAAGAGUGCACUGGGUCUUCAAAUGGCAUAUUGACAAGGAGAAAGAGGAAAGGAUGCCCCAGGACAGCCUGGGGGUCAAGGCUGGGCUCAGGCAUGCCUGGACAAGCCAUGCAAGUUGUCUCCGGACUUGAACCACGUAUCAGAGGAGCUAUUUGAGGAGCCACAUCAGCAUACCUGCUUCUGUGGGCCCCCAGGCUGUGGUGCUCAGCCCUUGCACUAUGAAACAUUUUUUUUUUCCAGAAGCCAAAGCUUUGAGCAUCUCCUCCCAUGUAGAGAGUGUAUAUGUUUACGUCCAUGUCUUUCGCCAUGUGAACGCAUGCAACCACCACCUCAAAUAUCAUAAAUCCUCUCUCUCCCCCUUUCUGUCUGCCUGUUUAUCUACAAUCUGUCUAUUUAAAUUCUUUUUAAACAAGAAGGGAAUAUCUUUAUGCCUGUUUGUAGGGAUAUUCUACAUCCAUCUGUUAUUUACAUCAUUCGUUUUCCUGAGGUGUCUCCAACAAAUCCUGGCUGGAUGCACUGUAUGUGUUAU
rnacentral:lncRNA from 1 species